rnacentral:lncRNA from 1 species
GCCAGGGUCUCGGUCCUCUCGCUUGCGGGAUGGCACAAUUGGCUCAGUCCCAGAGUCUUGGCGCGGUUGAGCUCCUCCCGGGCGACAGAGCCUCUCUACUUUUCACGUCGUGCCACCGCAAGAUAGCCAGUUCCUCCCUAUGGCGACCGCCUGGCUCUGCUAGACAAGCUGACUGCGAAACAGAUAUAUGAGCUUGCCACCAAGAGUAAGGACCAGAAGGCAAAAAGCAAAGUUUCCCUCUUCUAUGUCCUGUUAUCUCAGCUGCCAUGAGAAGGUGCUGCCUAGAUUUAAGGUAAGCCUUUCUGCUUCAGAUUAUCUGAUUAAGACAAUUCUUCAAGGCUGGGCAGUGGUGCUGCACACCUUUCAUUUCAGAACUCAGGAGGCAGAGACUGGUUGAUCUCUGUGAGUUCAAGGCCAGCCUGGUCUACAGAGAAAGUUCCAGGACAACACAGAGAACUCCUGUCUUGAAAAACAAUAAAUAAGUAAAUUAGGAACAAGUCAUUCCUAUUAUGCCUAAUCCAGUGAAAAAAACCCAUUGCUGUUUUAAUCCGGCUUUAAAAGAGGUUAAUGAAAACUUUGCCUCAUAACUCUUGGGCUGUGCUGAAUUCUUGUGCAGAUACUUCAGAGUUUGGGCAUCUGGUUAUGGGAAACAAAGAAAACCCCGAAUGCACCUAUGGAACCUCUCUGAUUAACCUGAGAGUACAGAAUUCUAAGAUUCUAGAGCAUGUUCCAUACCUAUACCAGUGUCAAGCUCAGCUCCUGACCUUCCUCGCUCUGCAUUCCCUGCAAGCCUGGAGGAGCUGAACCACACAACAGACUCACUGCAGCUCUUCAAAGGCUCUAACACAGGGUUCUAGUUCUUAAGUUUAUUCAUUUACCUUUUCUCCCCCUUUGCAGUGUCCUUCAAUAAGGCUGCUUGGGAAGGGUUAGAAGGUGUGGCCUUGUUGGAUGAUGUGUGUCACUGGGGGGCUGGGCUCUGAAGUUCCAAAAGCCCAUGCCAGGUCCAGUCUCAUCUCCGUCUGCCUGCCUGCCACCAUACUUCCUGCCAUGAUGAUAAUGGACUCGCCCUCUGAAACUGUAAUUAAGCUCCAAUUAAAUGCUUUCUUCUGUAAGUUGCCAUGGUCAUAAUGUUUCUUCACAGCAUAGAACAGUAACUAAGACAGGGACAUUCUCAUUCAAACCACCACACAGAUGGGUUAAUUAAUGCCUCUGCCACCUGGGUUCUUC